UUUUUGUGACAUUGUAUCUUUUUUCUUUAGGUUCUCUUGGUUUCACACCACAAUAUUUGAAGUGCGCAAAAUUACACACAUGGCUGUUUGUUGAUUUAUUACAUUUUUUGUCUUUCACUAGCCUAUCACUGUAUAACAUCCAUAUCUAUCUCUCAUGUAUAAUCUAGAUCACCCUACACCUACUUUGUACUAUAAUAGAGACACUUAACAGAUGUGAAUCACAAUCAAAGCAAUAAAAAUUAACCAUACUUGCUUCUUUAUGAUCAAAGGUCGCUGAAGCUUGGCCAACAAAACAUUCCACAAUCCAUGUGCCAAAAUCAAAUGCAUUGCUUAGCUAUUUUUUUAUUGCUCAUCUUGCCAUUAUUAGCAUAUGCUGCGAAGAUAUGAGUGUCUAUAAACAGAUUGUGCGGACAGUACAGCACUGACGUCCUGCUUCGAGAACAGGAAAGCAAGCUUUAGUGUGGAACAUGAAUGAAAAAUGCAUUCUAACAAGCAGCAACUGAUUUUGAUUGGUUUGAUUGGUCAGCACCAAAUGAGAGCUUGCCAGUUCAGCUGCGGCAUCCGGCACUUAGUCUGGAUGGGCUUGCGGCUCUUAACACCUGGGGGAAAACACAGAGAAUGAAUCCUCUUCUCCUCGUACCUGCAUGUGUGCGAUCAUCUUUAAAAGUGCAAUAAUAUUGCAGAUUAAAGAGCAGGCGGAGCUCCAGGUGGAGGUGGCGGUCCACAGCCAGGAGGAGGCGGGGGAGGUGGCGGACCCCCACCUGG